rnacentral:rRNA from 1 species
UACAUGGGGUGCAAACGUUGCUCGGAAUUAUUGGGCGUAAAGCGCACGUAGGCGGUUUGUUAAGUCGGAUGUGAAAUCCCUCGGCUCAACUGAGGAAGUGCAUCCGAAACUGGCAGGCUUGAGUACUAAAGAGGGUCGCGGAAUUCCCGGUGUAGAGGUGAAAUUCGUAGAUAUCGGGAGGAACACCGGUGGCGAAGGCGGCGAGCUGGUCCAUUACUGACGCUGAGGCGCGACAGCGUGGGGAGCAAACAGG